rnacentral:lncRNA from 1 species
GUGUGUGUUGGGGAAUGAGGGGGAUUUUGACUGGGAGGGAGGAGGGGCAUUUCGUAUUUUCUCCUGGAGGCCCCAGGGAGCCCCAGGAGUUAGCUGAGUGGGACCAGGGGGCAGGGGGUAGAGACAUGAUCAGGCCUGCAAUUUAGGAACUGAAGGGAGAAUGGACUUGGGGGGGGGGCAGGCAGACCCCUUAGCCACUAUUGCCACUCUGCCACACUCCACAUGGGAAGAGAUGAGAGCCUGCCCUGGAGUGGGAGCACCAUAAAGGAGACAAGUGGGGAGGUAUUGGGGAGAUGCUGCAGAGGUGAAACUGACAGGCCCUGGCGCCAUAUUGGAUGUGGAAGAGUCCAGGGGAUUCCUGGGUCUGGGGAGGAUGGGCGAUCCUCCAUUGCAUGAAGGAAGGGAGGGCUAUGGGAGGAUGGAGGGGGGAAGACCAGGAGCUCUGUGGUGGCCAUGCUGAGCUUCACAUGUCUACAAGGAGAGGGGCAGGAGAGCACAGGGGCCAUGAAAUCCCUGGGAGCUGAUGAGAUCUCCCAGCCAGGGAGGCAGAGGACAGGGCAGAGAACCAGGAGAGAUGGCGUCCUGAGGACCCAGUGAGCAGGGGGCUGCGGUCCCAUGAAGGAAGCCCAGCUCUCUGGGGCCACAACCUGCUGUCCUGCAAGCUUCACUAAGCAACCUGGUUCUGCUGCUCACCUCCUGUGCACCUGUCCCUUGGGUGGAGCCUCCAUGGCACACUCAUGGGAGCAUAUGGGCAAGAGUAGCCUAGAUGGGGGCAGUGAGGGGGCUCAGGAGAUAGAGAGCCAGGCCCAGAGCUGGGAGGUCCUGGGUUCCAAUCUGGCCUCAGACAUGUCCUGGCUGUGUGACCCUGGGCAAGUCACCUAACCCCCAUGGCCCAGCCCUUCCUGCUCUUCUGCCUUGGAACCAGUACACGGCAGUGAUUCUAAGAUGGAAGGGAAGGAAUAAGGAAAUGAUGGGUCCAGGGAGAGAACAGCAGCCCGAGAGGGCGACUUUAAUGAGAGGACCCGAGAGCUCCUUCCUCUCCCUGCCCCUCCCAGCUGGCAAAGAGGGAAGAUUCCCCAGAACCAGGAGGCCGGGAAAGGGAGAGCACGUAAGGGCACCUGCAGGCCCGGCUUCAAGGCUGACGCGGUCUGCAGUGUCGGUGCUCAUCGGGAUGGCCUGGCCAGCCGGGCCCAGUAACGGCUUCCUCGUGUGCUCCACAGUGUCCGCAGAAUGGGAGAAGAGGGGCGGCGAGACCUGGCAGCUGAUCGAGCCUGUCGAUGGCUUCCAUCCCAAUGAGAGCUCUGUGAGAAGAGAAGGAUGGCGUUCCUGAAAGGCUGGUCACUCUCCACACUCAUCAUCCGAAUCACACUAUCACAAUGACCACAAGCAGCACCUUGGACCCAAUCCUGCUUCACACCCUGCGGCAAACAAUAUACAUUGACUUAGGGGCCACUCCAGGCCAAGCACUGUGGCAGAUAUGGAGAAUGCCAAUACAUCCCCACCCCUAGGAGAUUCACAUUCUAGUCAGGGGUGAUAACACACACAUAUACCCAGAUCUAGAUAGAUAGAUGGGAGGCAUCUAGGUGACUCAGUGCUUGGGCCUGGAGUCAAGAAGAUCUGAAUUCAAAUUGUGCCUCAGAUAUGUCCUAGCUAUAUGGCCCUGGGCAAGUCACUUAACCUCUGAUCACCUGACAGAAGCGUCCACUGGAGAAGGAAAUAGUUAACCUCACCAAUAUCUUGCCAAGAAAACCUCAUGGAUAGGGAAGGAAGGAAGGAAGGAAGGAAGGAAGGAAGGAAGGAAGGAAGGAAGGAAGGAAGGAAGGAAGGAAGGAAGGAAGGAAGGAAGGAAAGAAGGAAGGAAGGAAGGAAGGAAGGAGGGAAGGAAAGAAGGAAGGAAGGAGAGAGGAUGGGAGGGAGGAAGAAAGAAGGAAGGAGGAAGGAAGGAAGGAAGGAAGGAAGGAAGGAAGGAAGGAAGGAAGGAAGGAGGGAGGGAAGAGGGAAGGAUGGGAGGGAGGAAGGAGAGAGGAUGGGAGGGAGGAAGAAAGAAGGAGGAAGGAAGGAAGGAGGGAAGAGGGAAGGAUGGGAGGGAGGAAGGAG